UGGAGAUUGCAGAGAAACCAGCUGAUGGGGAAGAAAGGGGCCGAGCGCAUAACGGGCUUCCUGGGGCUGCAGCCCCCGGCGCAGUUCCUCAUUCCGCUCGCACUCGGGCCUCAGGCUGGGUGGAGCUGGACACUGGGGUGUUGGUGGCAGCACUGGGGGGCCCCCCACUGCCCCAUCAUGGCGUCUGCUCUCACCAUCAUCCUCCUCAGCUGCUGGCUGGCGGGGCACAGUGGGGCGUGGGGAGCCGUAUCCGCUCCAGGGAUGGGGAGCUCCGCCGGGAGGAUCCCCUGCUGGCUGCCGGGGUCAGGGUGCCCUCAGUAUUCGCCGGGCUUCCCCAACCCCUCCCCCAGGCAUAGGUAGGAAGAGUCUCGGGAUGUCCUCGGCAGCAGUCUGACCCCUCCCAGCCCAGUCAGGCCCCAGGGCCCAUGCUGCAUCCGCCGGGCAGCUUCCCUCCGGGACAGGGAUCGGGUCAUCCAAGCGAUCCCUCUCCUCCAACUGGGCAAUCAGCUGUUCCUUGGUGGACCUCCCAAUGCGCAGCCCCCUCUGCCUGCACAGCUCCACCAGGUCGCUCUUAAGGCGUUUAGCGUACAUCUCCCUGCUGGCCACUCGCAGGCCGGGCAGCUUUCUACGGUUUCCAGGAAAAACCCCUCGUGUGCCAGUCCUUCUUGAGGUCACCACCUCUUUGCCAGGGUCGAGCUGCAGACUCCUUCGCCCCUGGGACCGCUCACUGCAAUCCCCCGGGGGACCCUGUUACUGCAAAAGUCCUUCUCUGGUCACACACUCCCAGGGGUUAACUAUCCCCUGAAACUGUCUCUCUCUGAAUGUGCAGCACGCCUGGUCCCCAUCAAUCCCCCUUCGUUUUACUGUUCCCCAGUCACUUACUGCAGGAAGCGCCGUUCACGGGGUGCAGUACAUCCCACCGCUGCCACCAGUUGUCAUGGAGUGUGGGGGAGUCCAGGCCCUGCACCCCUCUUCCUGGGAUUCACUGAGACUCUCAGGCAGGCAGAAAAACAGAAGGUUUAUUAGACAACAGGAACACAGUCCAAAACAGGGCUUGUGGGUACACCCAGGACCCCUCAGUCAAGUCCUUCUGGGGGAGCAGGGAGCUUAGACCCCAGCCCUGGGGUUCCCUGCGUUCCUCCACCCAGCACCAAACUGAAAACUAAACCCCCCCAGCAGGCUCUCUCCUGCAGCCUCUGUCCACAUUCCUGGGCAGAGGUCUUAUCUCCCCUCACCCUCCCGGCUCAGGUGACAGGCUCUCAGGUCUCCCAUCCCCAGGGCACAUUCCCAGGUCAACACUCCCUCCUCCCUGCUGUGUAACAUCAUCACACCAGACCUCUGGGGCUGGGUGGGACAGAGAGAUGCUCCCCGCCCCCCUUGCUCCCUGGAGCACAGCGGUUGGGGGGGGG